AUUUUGUACAAUGAAUACUCUUAUGACCAAAAGCCUAAUGAUUAUUAUAAGCAUAACCCAACUUGGGUUAUAAGCAUAACCCAACUUUAAAGGAAAGUUUUUCUGCAUGUUUUUCUAACCAAGUAAUAAUGCACUAAAAAGUGGAUUGAAAAAAAAUAGCAACAAAUUUAUUGUCCCAAAAAAAAACUAUAAUCAUGCACUGAAAAACAACCUUUCGUCAACAAAAGAAUGGCACAAAUUUCCAUUGAUAAAGUGUAAGAUAACAGAUAGUCAGUAUCUAACUUGUUUUGUGUUUUUUUUAAAGGUAACUUAAUUACUUUUUUGUAGCAAAAUGUUUUAUAAUUAGAUUCAUUUUCAUGUUGUGAAGAAUACAACUUUCUACAUCAGAUGAGAUAUAUGUUAAAGAAAACAUUAAAAAUAAGAAUAACAAAUCAUACCGCUCUUCAUUACCAGAACCUCCGCCACCUAUUAUGAAUAAGCCCAAUGAUAAAAGUAUAACACAAAUAUCAUAUUUUUUUCUUAAUGGUUUAUAAACUGAAAUAGAUUCUUGUUUAAUUUGAUCUGAAUAAUAUCUAUCUAGCUAUUAGUCUUUUUUAUGUAUUACUAAGAUUUUCCUUUUAUUUUAACUAUUUGGGUGUCCUAUUAUAUGUGAUGUUGUUAAAUUGGAUACAUAUAUUUAUAUGAUUGACAACAUUAUAUUGUAUUAAAUAAUCCUUUAAUCAACUUGAUAUGAAAAUUGAAAAUUGAUUGAAAGCAUGCUGAAAUUGUUUAAAUUCAGAAAUUGAAAGAGUACAAAAUUGGUUGAAAAAUUAAAUUAAGUAACAGGUAUGGUUGAGGGAUUAUUUAUAGUUCUAAUUAUAAUUAUUUCUUUUGAAUAGAGUUGUUAUCAGAUUCAAAGAUUGAAGAAGAUAAUUUUUCUUCACAUUUUAUUAAUGAACAGAAUAAAACCAAGCAAAGUUCACAUUGUCAAAGAGUUUCAAGUUUUAAUAUGACUUUUUUUGGUUUUUACACCACUGAAUGUUAAUGUGGAGGUCUUUUUUAUAAAUUUGCUUUUGUAUUAAAAUAAUUGAAAAAGAUAGGUAUAAAAGAAUAGAAAUGGAUUAUUUAUAAUAUUGUGAUCCGAUAAAUGUGUGUAGCAUUUUACCUUAAGUAGUUAAACAAAAUUCUUUAAUAUCGUAACUUUUUACAGGAUAAAGUUUUAGCUGAUUUAAAAAGUAGGUUUUCCAAAAUAUUAUGGCAACUUCUGCGAUGGUAUAAUUAAAAAACUUAAAUGUAUUUUUGGAACUUUAGUUUGAGUUACUCAAGCAUAAUUUGAAUUUUAAAGUUCAUUUUUCAUUGUUUUGCUAUUUGGUUUUAUGAGCUAAAUAUGUUAAUCAAUCUUUUUAUUCUUGUUUGUAGAAAUGCAAAAUGUUAUUCUCAACGAGCUUGCAGAAAUAAAAGAUCUUUUAAAAUAAGUUAUAGAAAUUAAGUUUCAGGCUACUGGGGUGAAGUUGCUAGAAUCAGUGGACGAAGUGGUUUCACUGGAUAAUAAACUAAAAGAUAAAACUGAGUAUACUAAUUUGAUAUCGGCGACGUGGAAGAAAAUGUUGACGGCAUUGAAGAAAUAUAGUUUCUUAUGUAUAUUUUUGUGAAAUAAAAAUUAAGUAAUGUUAGUUAAAA